rnacentral:rRNA from 1 species
UACGGGGGGGGCAAGCGUUGCUCGGAAUUACUGGGCGUAAAGGGUUCGUAGGUGGCCAAUUAAGUCAGACGUGAAAUCCCUCAGCUUAACUGGGGAACUGCGUCUGAGACUGGAUGGCUUGAGUGCAGGAGAGGAACGCGGAAUUCCAGGUGUAGCGGUGAAAUGCGUAGAUAUCGGGAGGAACACCAGUGGCGAAGGCGAUCACCUGGGGUUGUUCUGACGCUGAGGAGCGAAAGCUAGGGGAGCAAACGGG